rnacentral:lncRNA from 13 species
UAUAACAACUAGUGCUCCAUUCCUGGUAAAGGGGCAUUGUGACAUCAUCAAGUUAGUUACCUAUCUACAUAUCCACCCAGAACACUGGAACGGCCUAUUUCUAUGGACCUAGUCUGCCUGUAUGUCUGUAUUUUCCUGCUGGAUCAAAUUAAGGUCCUACCACUGUAUGUCUGUCUCUCUCUUUCCUUCUCUCUACCUCUCUCUCUCUCUGCCUGUACUCAUAUUCAACCUCUGCCUUCACCCUAUUGCAGCAGUUGAUUUUCUCAUAAUUUGCCUGCAUCAUGUUGCAAGGAGAGAGUGGCUGAGCACAGGUCAAUCACUCCACAAUGAGUAUGGUUAUACAGUUGAUUAUCAAGUGCCACAUUCAACAGACCACUAACGAUAGGUUUGCAGGUAUGCACGCACAAACACACACCACAUGCACACUCUCACACUCACACACCAUGAGAUGGUGUGUUUUAUAUCCCAUGGGAUGUGGGACCUGAAGUAAAAGGCAAUGUCUUGCCUUUAUAUAACGAUACAGAAAAACGCAUGGAAGAAAAAAUAAAUUUCCAUUGGCCACCUUAGCUUGGAUGAGAUAACAGAGAAAUCAUCACUGUGUGGCAGGUGGAGCGUAAAGAAGCCCCAAAUGGCCAUGUAGAAAUCUUAAUUUGUGCUGGACAGGACAGUGGUAGAGCUCAUGGAGGUACCCAGACAGCAGAGCUGAUGUAAAGAAUGUGGUGUCCUACAACGAGAUGCAACACUACAACAAUGGUACUAUAAUUUAUCAAUGUUUUGUGAAGAGGAAAGUAGUGCUCUCUCCAUACGACAUACAACACACACACUCAGAGAAAGACAGUUUAUCUGCCCCUGUCGUCUGGUGGUCGACUCCAUAGAGAUCCUAUUAAAUUACUAAAGGGGCUAUGUCAUAAUCGCUCAAAGUUAUAGAAUGGAGUGAUAAUGGCAUCUAUUUUCGUUAGAAAGAAAUCCAAACCAGUCUAUUUGGAAUGAAUGGCAGUAGAGUGAUGCAUUUCCUGUUUUUAUUUCUGCGAGAAAAUAAUAAGCAUGAGAAAUAUCAGAAAUUGUGUAAUUUAAAUAAAAUCAAAUGACAUUUUUGGUCACAUACAAGUGGCUAGCAGAUGUUAAUGCGAGUGUAGCGAAAUGCUUGUGCUAGUUCCGACAGUGCAGUAAUAUCUAACAAGUAAUCUAACAAUAUCACCAACAACUACCUAAUACACACAAAUCUAAAGGGAUGGAAUAUGACUAUGUACAUAUAAAUAUAUGGAUGAGCGUUGGCUGAGCGGCAGAGGCAGUAUAGACAAAUGAGAUGAUAAUAGAAGAUAUGUAAACAUUAUUAAAGUGACAUUGUUUAAAGUGACUGGUGAUCCAUUUAUUCAUGUGGCCAUUGAUUUGAGUCUCUAUGUUAGCAGCAGCUUCUCUGAGUCAGUGAACGCUGUUCAGCAGUCUGAUGGCCAUGAGAUAGAAGCUGUUUGUCAGUCUCUUGGUCCCAGCUUUGAUCCACCUGUACUGACCUCGCCUUCUUGAUGAUAGCGCGGUGAACAGGCAGUGGCUCGGGUGGUUGUUGUCCUUGAAUUUUUUGGGCAUUCCUGUGACAUCGAGUGCUGUAGGUGUCCUGGAGGGCAGGCAGAUUGCCCCCGGUAAUGCGUUGUGCAGACCGCACCAUCCUCUGGAGAGCCUUGCGAUUGAGGGCGCUGUAGUUUCAGUACCAGGCGGUGAUACAGCUCGACAGGAUGCUCUCAAUUUGGCAUCUGUAAAAGUUUGACUGGGUGUUAGGUGACAAGCCAAAUUGAUCAGCCUCCUGAGGUUGAAUAGGCACCACAUUGUCUGUGUGGGUGGACCAUUUCAGGUUGUCUGUGAUGUAUACGCCUAGGAACUUAAAACCUUCCACCUUCUCCACUACUGUCCCUUCAAUGUGAAUAGGGGUAUGCUCCCUCUGCUGUUUCCUGAAGUCCACGAUCAUCUCCUUUGCUUUGUUGAGUGAGAGGUUGUUCUCCUGACACCACACUCCGAGUGCCCUCACCUCAUCCCUGUAGGCUGUCUCGUCGUUGUUGGUAAUCAAGCCCACUACUGUUGUGUCAUCUCCAAACUUGAUGAUUGAGUUGGAGGCAUGCAUGGCCACACAGUUGUGGGUGAACAGGGAGUACAGGAGGGGGCUGAGCACGCACUCUUUUGAGGGUCCAGUGUUGAGGGUCAGCUAAGUGGAGAUGUAUUUUUUUUCCCACCUUUAUUUAACAAGGUAGGCUAGUUGAGAACAAGUUCUCAUUUGCAACUGCGACCUGGCCAAGAUAAAGCGUAGCAAUUCGACACAUACAACAACACAGUUACACAUGGAAUAAACAAAACAUACAGUCAAUAAUACAGAAGAACAAAAGAAAACAAAAAGUCUAUAUACAGUGAGUGCAAAUGAGGUAAGUUAAGGAAAUAAAUAGGCCAUGGUGGCGAAGUAAUUACAAUAUAGCAAUUAAACACUGGAAUGGUAGCUCGGCAGAAGAUGAAUGUGCAGGUAGAGAUACUGGGGUGCAAAGGAGCAAAAUAAAUAAAUAAAUACCAGUAUGAGGAAGAGGUAGGUAGAUAGAUGGGCUGUUUACAGAUGGGCUAUGUACAGGUGCAGUGAUCUGUAAGCUGCUCUGACAGCUGGUGCUUAAAGCUAGUGAGGGAGAUGUGAGUCUCCAGCUUCAGAGAUUUUUGCAAUUCGUUCCAGUCAUGGGCAGCAGAGGACUGGAAGGAAAGAAGACCAAAGGAGGAAUUGGUUUGGGGGUGACCAGUGAGAUAUACCUGCUGGAGUGCAUGCUACGAGUUGGUGCUGCUAUGGUGACAAGUGAGCUGAGAUAAGGCGGGGCUUUAUCUAGCAGAGACUUGUAGAUAACCUGUAGCCAGUGGGUUUGGCGACGAGUAUGAAGCGAGGGGAGCCGUCCAGGGUAGUAAUCCUGGACGGGCGAGCAGGUGCGGGCAGCGAUCAAUUGAAAAGCAUGCAUUUAGUUUUACUUGCGUUUAAGAGCAGCUGGAGGCCACGGAAGGAGAGUUGUAUGGCAUUGAAGCUCGUCUGGAGGUUAGUUAACACAGUGUCCAAGGAGGGGCCAGAAGUAUACAGAAUGGUGUCGUCUACGUAGAGGUGGAUCAGAGAAUCACCAGCAGCAAGAGCAAGAUCAUUGAUGUAUACAGAAAAGAGAGUCGGUCCGAGAAUUGAACCCUAUGGCACACCCAUAGAGACUGUCAGAGGUCCAGACAACAGGCCCUCCGAUUUGACACACUGAACUCUAUCAGAGAAGUAGUUGGUAAAUCAGGCGAGGCAAUCAUUUGAGAUACCAAGGCUGUCGAGUCUGCCAACAAGAAUGUUGUGAUUGACAGAGUCGAAAGCCUUGGCCAGGUCGAUGAAUACGGCUGCACAGUAAUGUCUCUUAUCGAUUGCGUUUAUGAUGUCGUUUAGAACCUUGAGCGUGGCUGAGGUGCACACAUGACCAGCUCUGAAACCAGAUUCCAUAGCGGAGAAGGAAUGGUGCGAUUAGAAAUGGUCAGUAAUCUGUUUGUUAACUUGGCUUUCGAAGACCUAAGAAAGCCAGGGUAGGAUGGAUAUAGGUCUGUAGCAGUUUGGGUCUAGAGUGUCACCCCCUUUGAAGAGGGGGAUGACCGCGGCAGCUUUCCAAUCUUUGGGAAUCUCAGACGAUACGAAAGAGAGGUUGAACAGGCUAGUAAUAGGGGUUGCAACAAUUUCGGCAGAUCAUUUUAGAAAGAGAGGGUCCAGAUUGUCUAGCCUGGCUGAUUUGUAGGGGUCCAGAUUUUGCAGCUCUUUCAGAACAUCGGCUAUCUGGAUUUGGGUGAAGGAGAAAUGGUGGGGGCUUUGGCGGGUUGCUGUGGAUGGUGCCGGGCAGU